UACGUAGGGGGCAAGCGUUGUCCGGAAUUAUUGGGCGUAAAGCGCGCGCAGGCGGUUCUUUAAGUCUGGUGUAUAAGUGCGGGGCUCAACCCCGUGAGGCACUGGAAACUGGCGGGCUGGAGUGCGGCAGAGGGGGGUGGAAUUCCACGUGUAGCAGUGAAAUGCGUAGAGAUGUGGAGGAACACCGAUGGCGAAGGCAGCGCCCUGGCCGUUUCCUGACGCUGAGGCACGAAAGCUGGGGGAGCAAACAGG
rnacentral:rRNA from 1 species